UCGCGGUUAUAAAUUAUCUUCAUGUUAUUAUGAAUAAGAUGAAAAAAGAUUGACGUUAGGCUCUCGGAAUAGUAACGGAGUUACGAGCAAGUCAAAAGAUCAAGUUCUACGUAAGACUAAUCUGUAGCUACGAAUGCGAUUUUUAUCGAUGUUGACACGAUAACUUCUUAACAUUCUUUAUCCAGAACGCGCGAAUUGCAACUACAUAAUCCGUAUAAAAGGAAUGCAAACUCCGCUUAUGAUUCAGAUCCCGAUAUAUCGACCGGAAAAUCUACAUCGCACUUAUCGUAAAUCUGAAUUCAUCGUUUUGUGCACUUAAAAUCACGGUGCAUCUAUCAACGUGCGUAUGUUGGUAGUAGAAGAGAGAAUUUCAGAAACGAGUUUACGUAACGCUGUGGGAGAACGACUCGCGAUCGCUGCACUUUUGUAAGAUGCCAUGCCGGAGGAAACGCCGUUUACGGUGUAACGCAUCCGGGCCAAUUGAACGUUUAUGGACAAUGAAUAACAGAAUACUGGAGAUUAUGCAACACUGAAGGUUUCACAGAGUUAAAUUAGCUGGUACAGUGUGUCUCAUUUUCAGUGAUUACCAGAUGUACUUGUAGGUGUAAAUGUUUUGUGAUAAGACAGUGUUUGAUUCACGUGAGUUUAUAUGCGCAACAUCAAAUUAUGCAUACAUGUAUCGUAGCACAUGAAAUUAUUCGCAAAGCUUAUAGAACAGAAUAGCCUUUUUAAUAUUGGACCAGACAACGCAAAUGGUUAAAACGCAAUAAUUUGACGCUGGAAGAUUGUAUCGUAUGACGGUCAUGGUUUUUUGACAGAUGAUGAAGAAACCUGGUUCGUAACAAUAAGAUUUAUUGUGAGUGGUGUUCGUAAAUAGCGCGGUUCAGUUCGAAAGCGAGGAGGAAAGAAUAAUUUUUCGCUGGCAAAACGAGCGAUUGUCGUCCUCCAUAAACGAACUCUAAUUAAGAUAAUUGCGACUAAGGACGCGUAUAAAGCACGCGGCAGUAGCAGGGGACCGAACAUUAAACUCCGGCGUAUAUACUAUAAUACUAGUAUUCGUGAUUGUGAACAAAGUAACAGGAUCGAGUAUUCGUAUCUGUACGUAUGUAACAAUGGAAUUUUAAUUGCUGUACGUGCAUUACUUAUUACAACAUUCAAUAUGUUUUUAAAUUCUUCCCUUCACUUUAUUCUAAUAUCGUUAAAAUAGAAGUAUUAUACAUCUUCUGUUGGCAGUCUCCAUUUUGAAUUAUUUAUCUGUAAUUAAUUGUAUGCUUUAUAAAAACAUUCAUUACUAACAAAAUAUUAAUUUAGGAAUCAUAUUUGAAAGCAGUAAAAUAAUUAUAAUCGCAAAAUAUAAUUAGUACAAACAGCAGUAGAACACUAGAAGAUAAUGUAAGUAUGUAACGUAGACGUCAAUCAAAUUGAACGCUAAGCGUUUCAGAAUUAAUUGGAGUGAAACUGAUUAUAAGGUCAAAACUAUGAUAUCAUUAAUUUUUACUAACUAUAAGAGAAUGGAGUUGAUCAUUUUGAAAGUCUGAUCUCCUAAAGUCAUCGCACUCAAUAAAAUGAGAUAAUUAUUUAUAUGCAUACGAUUUCAGUUUUAAACAGUCAGAAAAUUAUCUUUGCUGGUUUGGAAUUACAAUAUCGGUAGUAAUAUAUAGUACACGCAUAUACAUACACAUACAUAUGGAAUCUAUUGAAAUUACAAUAUGAUAUUGUUUACUCGAAUAAUUCUAGUAACUUCGAACCAGCAACAGUAGACAAGAAUGACAUGACUUAAUAAAUUUCGUAAGAAACGAUCCUCAAUUGUAUGAAAUUUGAGAAAGAAAAAGACGUGGAACGAGUACUCGAGGUGUAAAACAUAGAUACAGCGAGCCUAUUAUCUAUUUUUGUUAUAUUUUUUGUGUAUCGUCGAAAUCACUGUAACAAGUGGCUAUUCUUCUCGGAAUGCAAAUUGUUCAUAGGAGGGGUUCGACACUGUUCCUAAACGCAACUAGUGAUACCUUGACCGAGUUUAAACAUUACCCACGCUAUACAUAUGUAUAAUAUGGGGUGAUAUUAUUCAAUAGGAGGAGAGGUUGAUUUCCUUUUUUCUCGCGCCUGAUAAGAUAAUACCGAAUCGGAAAAAUAUCUCAAAUGAAUUUGUCUUCUUGCAAUUAUACUUCUUUUCUCUUUCUCUUUAAUUGCCGUGAUAGAUUUACUUUCACCAGUAAAGUUUUAUCUUAUUGGACCAUUGUUAUGUAGUCUAAUCCAAAUUUAAUCUAAACGGGCUUCGACUGAUUAAAACUGUAGAUUUGUGUGAUCUAAUUUUUUUCAAUUUUUACUCUGUCAUCAUUCAGUCUUUUCUUUUACACAUUUAUCUUGUUACAUAUUCGCCGUGUCGUUGCACGAACACGGUCACGAGGAUCGGACCGGUUGGUUUGUGCUGUACAGAGAAACUGAGAUGUCGGUGGCUCGUGGCUCGUGCGAUAUCGUAUUGCGGUACGUCUGCAUAAAAGCUUAGAUUACAUCACGUUGCACAUUUGGACUAGCGACCGGUUGCAACGAAAAUGGGACCACGACCACGACCGCGUCGUGUACAAAUCUAGCGUAAUUUAUGGGAACAUGAUCGUACAAAAAACAACCGCAGAUAUACAUGUAUAUGUAUAAUAAAAUGGUCGUUGACCUAUUCUGCCCAUUUUUGCGGUUGGGAGAAGUGUUAUAAAUAAAAUUAGCGCAAGAUUUCUUCAUCACAUACGUACAUAUAAUACAUGUACAAUGUACAGUGACUAACGAAAGUAUUCGAAUACCUUUUAAAACAGAAUAACUUUUUAAUACUGGACCAAACAACAUAAUUUUCUGUGGGAUGCUAGUAGACUCAGUUUAAUAAUUAAUGUGUAAAAGAAAUUUGUUCAAAAUUUUUAUUGGCUGAUAUUGGA